UUACAAUAACAAACUAUUUCAUUAAAUACCACUUUCCCCUCUGAUGUGCAAUGGCUGCAAACAGCACCCUCCCUGGUAGUGUAUACAGUGUGCUGCAUAUACGGGUUGCCCUAAGGGACCCUAGAGACAGCC
rnacentral:snoRNA from 1 species